ensembl:lncRNA
GUCAUUUUCUAAAACUGACACUUGUACCUAACAAUAAACAAACUUGGCGAGGUCAGAUCACAGGCAUCUGUUUUCUUCUGGCCUGUGUUUUCUGAUUCUUCUUUGACAGUUUGUGAGCAUUGGUUGUGUGAUCUAGAUAUGCUAAAAUUUAUUCUCUUCCUUCUUUAGAAAGCAUCGCUGAGCAUUUGUUGUUCCCUAGUGUUGAGGGAAGCGUCUGGUAGCAUUUCAGUUAACGGAAUUUGAGGCACUCUCCUUUCCGUCCGUUUGUUAGAAUCUUGGUUUUAACCGUAAAAUUGCAGCCGUUGAGAGGGCUUGGGUUCUAGCUAGUACGCAGUAGCUACGGUAAGUGACUGGAGACAAAUGCAGACGAGCGCGGAGCUCCAGGCAGCCUCUGGGCCCAGGAUAGCACCUGCGUACACUGUUCCCUAAAUCGGAGGCACUUAGCCUUUCGGGAAACAGAGUCCGGAUCCCCAAUUUGCUGUCUUUUUACCUCUGCCUGCAGGACUUUCUUUAACAUUUCUAGUUGAACUUUUAUUUUUGGAGGAGUGUUGAAAUUAAACAGUACAUAGGUGACGGCAGCAAAGUCCAGAGGUAAAGAGGAAACUGUAUGUCCUUAGAUGGGGAUGGAUUCAUUUGGAGAAGUUUCAACUUGGCGAGAGCACAAUGAGCAAGGAGCUGGCCCCUGGGUUGGCUCCCAGGAAAAACAGGUGGGCCGCCUCUAGCUUGGGAUCCCGUCAGUUCUGUGCAGCAGUCCUGAGGACCGGACCAGCACGGAGAGUACAAGGCUGCCCAGAGCCCUUGUGAAGGUGCCUCCCACCAGAGGAUGAAGACAGGCCCCCUGUGCAGAAGCGGAGGAUGACUCCUGUCCCUGCCAGGCAAUGCAGAGUGAAGAAGUUUGGUAAAUAGUCACAGCCCCUGAGGCGGGUAGAAAUCCAUUUGAACAGCACACAAGCAAUUCAGACUGACAUAUAAGAAGGUCAGAAGACAGUUCUCCUGCCUACUCUGCCAUGGACUAUUUCCCCUCUGCAGUGUCUCUCUGCCAUGGUGCCCUGCCUUGGAGCCAGCUGAUAAUAGAUUGAAACCUCUGCAAACUGUGAGCCAGAAUAAACCUUUCCUCUUUUUAACCUGGGGGUGUUGAGUAUUUUGCCCCAGCAAUAAAAAAUAAGUAAGACAACCAGACCUCCAACUUCCACCUCAAUGGCAGUUUGAAUUAGAAAUGUAAAAUUUAGAACCAAAAUUCUGGUUGCUCAUUGUCCCUCCAUGGACUCCCCAGCUCCGGGAGGAAGUACGAUGUGCUGAUUAUCUUUGGCUUCUUCUGGAAGAGUCUGGAAUCUUCUAGAUUAUCCAAACAAGAGGCUUCUCUGAUCCAUCCCUGGACUGUGAUUGAUGUCAGCUUGGUCUUUGUGCUGAAAUAGCUCACCUUCCCCAGGCCCAGAGAUCCGGAAGGUGGGGAGAGAGACCCUGUCAGCCUUCAUGGGGCCAUUUUUCUAGAUGAGAAUAUUGACACAUUAAGUCACUAGCAGCUACAGUUUCAGUCAACUUACAAAUCCACCGUCAUCUCUUUUUUUUUGGUACUGGGGAUCGAACUCAGGACCUUGUGUUUGUGAGGCAGGUGGCGGCACCACUGAGCUAGAUCCCCAGCCCACCGACCCCUUUAUUCUUAACUGCAGUCCUGAGCCCUCAUUUCCAGUUGUGGUUCACAGACAUUUUGCACCUCACUCCAAAACUCACUCAGGAAGCUUUAGGUUAGACCCAGCUUCCUGCUUUAUAAGAAAGACUGACUUACGGUGAUUAUGCCUGGGGACUAGAGUACCUUGGGAGAAGAUGGAGUGUGUUGUGUGCACUCACACUUUUGCUUUUUCCCUUACUUCACAUCUGCACUUCUUACCACACUGCAAACAUAACUAAACAUCAUGACCAUGAAACCACAUACUCAAUCCCCAAUCCCAUUUCCUUAUGUGUCACUAACAUAUCUGUCCCUAAAUUUGGCUGAUUGCACACAACUUAAGUCUUUGCCUCCUACUCUGUGCAAACCCAUCCGGUAAUGUGUCAAUGGCAGGGUGCCACCCUGAAGUGCAUAUUUGUAAAUGUGCCAUCAUACUGACAAAUACCUGUGACCCUAAAUUUGAAGAUGGAUAGUUAAUUAUUCAGGGGGAGAAAUUCCUCCAGAAGCAGUGGCACAGGGGACAGGAAGAUCUCCCAGGUGGGCUCAGGUCAUAAGCACUGUG